rnacentral:rRNA from 1 species
GAUGAACGCUGGCGGCGUGCCUAAUACAUGCAAGUCGAGCGAACAGGCGCGGAGUUUCCUCCUCUGUCGUUAGCGGCAGGCGGGUGUGUAACACGUGGAUAACCUACCUCUCUUCCUGGGAUACCUUCGGGACUCCGGAUCUAAUACCGGAUAAUAUAUUGUACCGCAUGGUUCAAUAGUGAUUGACGGUUUUGGUGUAACUUAUAGAUGGUUCCCCGCCGCAUUAGCUAGUUGGUAAGGUAACGGCUUACCAAGGCAACGAUGCGUAGCCGAUCUGAGAGGGGGAUCGGCCACACGGGAACGGAGACACGGUCCAGGCGCCUGCGGGAGGCAGCAGUAGGGAAUCUUCGGCAAUGGGCGGAAGCCUGACGGAGCAACGCCGCGCGAGUGAUGAAGGUCUUCGGAUCGUAAAACUCUGUUAUUGGGGAAGAACAAAUGUGGAAGUAACUAUGCACGUCGUGACGGUACCUAAUCAGAAAGCCACGGCUAACUACGUG